UGGGGAAUUUUCCGCAAUGGGCGAAAGCCUGACGGAGCAACGCCGCGUGAGGGAUGAAGGGCUCUGGGCUGUAAACCUCUUUUAUCAAGGAAGAAGAUCUGACGGUACUUGAUGAAUAAGCCACGGCUAAU
rnacentral:rRNA from 1 species